AUUAAAGAAGUUUGAAGAAAAUACAGAGAGAUGUUUCUUAUUUCAUUGAAUUGUCAAGUUUGAUAAUAUAAUCCCCGGCAAGUGUAAUCGUCAAAGCAAUAAUGGCACUAAAUCUGAUAAUCAAGUUAAAUACAUUUUGCUUUGAUUGAUAUAAGAUGUGCUUGAUUUAUAAAUGUAAUGUAUAAGCUGAUAAAUAGAACUAAAUAUACAGAUUUUUUUUUUAAAACAGUAUUUAGUAUGAUUCUGUUCAUUCAAAAUGCUCAGUUACACAGUUAUGUUCAAAUGGACAUUUCCAUUUUAUUAUUAAAAGUUUCAGCAGUUAAAUGAUUGCAAAUUUUUACAAAUUCAACAAGACACUAUUUAAAAGUAGGAGUUACUAUACAGCAGCUAAAAGAUUGUUUUAAAAAAUCAAUAAAUAAACAAGUGUAUUAUAUAGAUAAACAGAGUUUGAUAAUCUCAGGUUAGUACUCUUGGUACUUUAGCAAUUCUAUAUCAAGAGUGAAACAGUCUGAUCAAAACACAAUAUUGAGUUGCUUGUGUUACAUUAAUAUUUGGGUACAGUAUAGAUAAGGAAUGCACUAUCUUUGAAUAAUAAAGACAUUAAUAACAGCCAAUAACUAUUGUGUUCUAGACUGUCUUAUAUUUAACUCUUUACCAAAGUAAGCUAAGCAAGGCUCUCAGUUAUACAUGAGAUCAGCUACAGAACUAUUACUGAAGACUAUCAUGUUAGAAAAAGAUUUGAAAAAAAAAUAUGCUUCUUUAACUUUCUAAUGUGGCAAAUGAAGUGUUUUUUCUUCUAGAUCUUCAUUCAAAAACCACUAGCACAAGAAGUGUCAAGACCGCAAGAAGUGUCUGAACCGGCCAAGAAAACCCAAUUAUAUACAGAAAUUUGAAUCUUUGUUUAACAAAAGUGUAAAUAAACAUGAAUGUGAGGAGAAGGUAAAUCAUUUGUUGGUAGAGAAACAUCAGCAGAUUUUAAGACUAGGAAAUAUUGUUUUGUGAAUAAGAAAGAAAUUUUUUUUCAAUUACACAAUUAUUUAAAAAUAAUUGUUGAAAAUCAUUUAAUAAAAUGACAAAAUGCAAAACAUCUUAUGACAAAAGUUGAGCUCAAGAGUAAAUUACAAAAACCCAAAAAAGCAUCAAAGAAAUUUUUUUAAAAAUCACUCCAGUAAAAAAAAAAAUUACCUGUACUUAUUAUAAGAUUAUGAGUUAAUCUCAUUGUUUCCUCUUAUGUUGUUGUUCUUCAGUCUUUAAAUUACUUACGUAUUACAAAUAUAUGUAGAUAAAACAAAACUAAAAAUUGGUGUAAAAUGAUAAUUUACAUGACUAGAUCAUUGCCUCAAACUAUCAAAAAUGUCUCAUGAUAAAACACAACAACAAAACAACAUAAAUAUUUCUUAGACUGAGCAUAAUAUUUCCUUUUAAAAAUUGUUAAUUGUUGAAUUAUCUAAUGGAAUAAAUUAGAUGACCUUUGCAGUUUAACCCAAAUCACUGUAGUAAAUUUCCCAUUUUGCUGGGGAUCACCUGGAAACAAGACAAGUAAAUUUUCCCUAUUGGAAUGGGAUGAAAACUUUUCAGUUACACCAUGAAAUAAAAUUGAGUAAAGUUAGCAACAUACUUGUCUGGGCACAGUGCUAAAAAAACAACUAACAUUGACAUGUGUAAUAAUUAAGGUACCUUUCAGGGGUAUUCAAAUUAAUUAGACUAAUUGCAAGUCUUGUGUUUAAUUGGUGAAUAAAAUCACAGAGCUAUCUAGGCAUCAUGAGACUGAAACUGGGUUUUUAGGUUAUUAGAAAUUUAGUGGACAGCGCCCAUGCUCUUCACUGGGCAUGUAUUCAUCGAAACAUAAUUUAACUGCCUAUGAUUAAGAUUUAGAUUUCAGAUCAGAUUUUAUGGCACAUAAGCACAAUUUAGGUCAUGUCGCGCUCUACUUAAGAGAAGAAUGGAUGUAAUAUUCUUUUGUAGUCUACAGUCUACAUCGUUAGGUAUAUUUGUUAUACAUACUAUGCUUAUGCCAAUGGUAGAUUUCUAAUAUUGUAAAAAAUGUCUCAAAAAGUGCCAGAUUGAUUUCCAGCAUGAUCAACCCACUAGUCUGUUUAUCUUUUGGUACAUAUUGAAACACUGCAAAAGAUUUUUUUGUUAGGACUUAUAUUAACAAAUUUGAAAUAUAAAAAAAAACAAGUUUCAUCAAUAAAAAAAAAGUGUUUUAACUUUCGUUAUAUAUAAAAUAAUUUAAAUUAAUUUACAUUUCACCUAAAAACUGCUGAACAAUUGUGAAUACAACAUGAAACAAAUGUGAAGAAAAUGCUAUAAUAACAAGGAAAAAAAUAUA